CAGAAGCCUGUCUCCUGCAAGUCCUGCAUUUGGAGCCAAGGCACAGAGAGAACUUAAGUAGCAGAUGGUGGGAACCAGGGCAGAAGGAGGACUCCUGAAGCCUCCGAAGGAAGGAAAUCAUUACAGGGCCCUACAGAAGUAGGUCAUGUGCUACAGCUGCUCGUAGUUUAAGAGGAAGAAACAUCGGCCCUCAGACCUGGAGCGCGACUCUUUCCAAAUGCUUGUGAGCAGCCCAAGGAAAACAUCCUUCCGAGGCUUAUCUAAUAACCAGCAUCUGUAAUCGUCUCAAUGUGCGCUCAGGGGUCCUUGGAGUUUGCACCUACUUCCCCGGGCCGCCGAGAUGCUGAAACAGAAAACAGCAACGGUUAACGAAGGGGAUUUAAUAGUUUGUGUUAAAGCUGAUAGGGCCCAUUAGGGGCUGUCAUUUUUGUAAACAACGAAGACACGUUACCCUCUCGUUGGGUGUGAAGUUGCCCCGCGCCGGACCCGCAAACAUUCGGUAACGGUCUGUAGAACACGCAGCAAAGACAAUUAAGGCACCCCUUGAAAAAGUCUGUUUUCCUCACAUAUUUGGUUUCUUGCUAAGUAAACUCAUAAAGAUC